UGAAGUGGUUGGUAUCCUACAAUAGUCCAUAUCAUGGAUACUACUGAGCCUCCUUAGCAGUGGAAUCAUGAGUUUAUACCAUGUGGUUAUUCACUUACUUUCAGCUAGGAGAGAAAGAAAAGCUUUGGGCAUGAGGGUCUGAAAAAGAAAAAAAGAGCUGAGACAAAGAGGAGUUUUUCAAAAUUCCUCAUAAUUCAAAAUGCAUAGCCCUCAAAUUAUGGAUGAACUUUAGAAGGUUCAAAAAAGUUGCCCUUCUGAUAACAAAAAAAAGCACUACUGAAGAAUCCACUGCAGAAGAAAGGGCGCUCCCUAGGUACUGCCUAUCAGGACUGUGUUGAUAUAGUUCAGAAAAGGAACUGGAGCAGUAACUGGCUUUUAGGAAGAAUUCCGCAUGAAAGAGGGAAAAUUGUUCUCUUUUAGGUCUAAGAUGAAAUAGAUGAUCAUAACUGCUCUGCUUGGAGAUGCAUUUCAUGGCACAAUGUAUACGUGACCUAUGCAAGGUCACGUCAUGGAAAGAGAACUGACAUGAGAGAUAACAAGUCGAAUCCAAGCUUUUAGUCUUGGACAACUUCAGGGUAACCUAUUUAGGUUGCUUUAUUUCAUGCAAUAUAGCAAGAAAAGUUUCUUUUUAAACAGUAAGUACGUCGUAGAUAUAAAGUCUGUAUAGGGCUCUCUCAACAGUUUGAACAAUGUCAAUUACAAAUAUAUGAAGAAUUACUGCCCAAAUCACUGAUCAUUAAGGGUUAUUUUAUUUUAUUUUAUUUUUUGGUCACAUUGUGAGCCUUGGUGCAGUGGCAAGCCAGCCUAAUUCUCAUCCACAAUAAGCUCCCGUGUUCCAGCCACACUACACGUUUCACACCUUGAGGUCUCUGCACAUGUUUCACACUGACAAAAAUCCUUCCCACCCCUCAUUUAAAACAUCAACUCCCCUGUAAAUCUUUCUUCUGAGACCCCUAAACAGGGUUCAUUAUUUCCUUCCCUGUGUACUCAGAGUGCUGCAUACCUAUCUAAUAUAGAGUAUCUAUCAGAUUCUAUUAUAAUUAUUGGUUUACUGUCUCCACCACCAGAAAUGAAAACUUGUCCAUUUACCCUUAUCUAGGAUUUCCCAUGUGCCAGGCACUGUUGUGAGCACUAUAGCUACAUCAGCUCUUUAAUCUGU